rnacentral:rRNA from 1 species
AUUGAACGCUGGCGGCAGGCUUAACACAUGCAAGUCGAGCGGGGUGAUGGUGCUUGCACUAUCACUUAGCGGCGGACGGGUGAGUAAUGCUUAGGAAUCUGCCUAUUAGUGGGGGACAACAUCUCGAAAGGGAUGCUAAUACCGCAUACGUCCUACGGGAGAAAGCAGGGGAUCUUUAUGACCUUGCGCUAAUAGAUGAGCCUAAGUCGGAUUAGCUAGUUGGUGGGGUAAAGGCCUACCAAGGCGACGAUCUGUAGCGGGUCUGAGAGGAUGAUCCGCCACACUGGGACUGAGACACGGCCCAGACUCCUACGGGAGGCAGCAGUGGGGAAUAUUGGACAAUGGGGGGAACCCUGAUCCAGCCAUGCCGCGUGUGUGAAGAAGGCCUUAUGGUUGUAAAGCACUUUAAGCGAGGAGGAGGCUCUUUUGGUUAAUACCCAGAAUGAGUGGACGUUACUCGCAGAAUAAGCACCGGCUAACUCUGUGCCAGCAGCCGCCGUAU